AGACGGGGAAGUGGGGUGCAGGGAAGUUUGCGUGGGGUGGGCCAAGGAUCACCUUGGACAUCUGGAGCCUGGCAGGAGCGGACUCACAGAGGGGCUGGCUUGGGGAGGGCCGCGGGGCGCCCGGGAGCCUUUUGGGGAUCAUUUUUUGCUCCCGGGCGCCCCGCAGGCCGGGUAACAUCUGCGUGGGAGGGUGAAAGACCCAAGCUAGCAGCGCGGAGAAGAAGAGGGGGGAGCCAGGCAUUCAUCCCGGUCAAUUUUGGUUUCAGAUCGUGGCGACUGGUGGACAGGGGUCUUGACAGAGGCUCGCCCUGGGGCUGGGGCAGCGGAGGCGUAGCUGGCAGCCGUGGGCAGGUGAAGACAGCGCUCUGCCGGCCAGCCACGUCUCCAGUGGGGUGUUGGUGCCUGCCAGCCACGGAGGCCGGGCGGCCAGGACGCGCACAGAGGGAUAUGAUAUGGUCCGGUGUGAUGGAGAGAGCAGGCGGGACCGUCCAGCCUCCCAGGACACUGGCCCCGCGGGGAGCCCGGAUAUCGACGUUCCUUUAGUCUCCUGACGGAGCAGACACACCACUGCUGCUCUUCAGACACCCAGAACCCUCAAGAUGACAAGAGAUGGUGCUACCCAGCUCAUGCCUGGGACUUGGAACACGGACUUCUUCAAGUCUUCUAGCUCUGACUCAAGAAUAUGCUGCAUUUUGGAACCACUACACACCCUAACUCAGGAAUCAGCUCUGGAAGGUUGACCUAAAGGAACGGACGACCCACACCACCGGAAGAGCAGCCCCCGCGGCGACACCCACCCCGGCCCGGCGACUCCAUCUCUGCGGCCCCCCCCUGCCUCAGCCCCGAGACCACCGACAGCCUCCCUCCCUCCUUUUCCUCCUUUUCUGACUCUAUUUUCUGAUCUUCUCUCUGCUAUCCUUUGCUCAGGAGACUCAGAGCCUCCAGAGCCCCGUUCUCCCCGUCCCCCUUGAAUCAAUUUGCACUAAAAGUCGUUUGCACUGGUUGGGGCUCUGGAGCCAGCCCUGGUCUCUGAGCGUGUGUAAGCGCGCGUGUGUGCACACUGCUGAAUGUGUAGGCCUCCUUGGCCCGUGCCCCCGCCCAGCACCCUUCCCACACUUGCGGGUGCCUGGGAGGGGGCCCGAGUGGGGGGGCCCGCGUGUGAGGGGCCCCGCCCGCCCGCACCGAGUCUGGAGGCUCCGAACAUCAGGAGCACACACCAAGCAUGAACGUGUGUCCAUCUUGCCUAGUGUCCCUCCCUGCCAGGGCCUCCUCAGAUGCCCUGGACUCAUCAAUAAACUCAGUUACAGGAA
ensembl:lncRNA